rnacentral:rRNA from 1 species
AGUGAACGCUGGCGGUAGGCCUAACACAUGCAAGUCGAACGGCAGCACAGGAGAGCUUGCUCUCUGGGUGGCGAGUGGCGGACGGGUGAGGAAUACAUCGGAAUCUACUCUGUCGUGGGGGAUAACGUAGGGAAACUUACGCUAAUACCGCAUACGACCUACGUGUGAAAGCAGGGGACCUUCGGGCCUGGCGCGAUUGCAUGAGCCGAUGUCGGAUUAGCUAGUUGGCGGGGUAAAGGCCCACCAAGGCGACGAUCCGUAGCUGGUCUGAGAGGAUGAGCAGCCACACUGGAACUGAGACACGGUCCAGACUCCUACGGGAGGCAGCAGUGGGGAUAUUAGACAAUGGGCGCAAGCCUGAUCCAGCCAUACCGCGUGGGUGAAGAAGGCCUUCGGGUUAUAGAGCCCUUUUGUUGGGAAAGAAAUCCAUCUGGUUAAUACCCGGGUGGGAUGACGGUACCCAAAGAAUAAGCACCGGCUAACUUCGUGCCAGCAGCCGCAGUAA